GACGAACGCUGGCGGCGUGCCUAAUACAUGCCAGUUGAGCGAUGAAGCUUGGUGCUUGCACCAAUUUGAAGAGCAGCGAACGGGUGAGUAACGCGUGGGGAAUCUGCCUUUGAGCGGGGGACAACAUUUGGAAACGAAUGCUAAUACCGCAUAACAACUUUAAACAUAAGUUUUAAGUUUGAAAGAUGCAAUUGCAUCACUCAAAGAUGAUCCCGCGUUGUAUUAGCUAGUUGGUGAGGUAAAGGCUCACCAAGGCGAUGAUACAUAGCCGACCUGAGAGGGUGAUCGGCCACAUUGGGACUGAGACACGGCCCAAACGCCUACGGGAGGCAGCAGUAGGGAAUCUUCGGCAAUGGACGAAAGUCUGACCGAGCAACGCCGCGUGAGUGAAGAAGGUUUUCGGAUCGUAAAACUCUGUUGGUAGAGAAGAACGUUGGUGAGAGUGGAAAGCUCAUCAAGUGACGGUAACUACCCAGAAAGGGACGGCUAACUACGUG
rnacentral:rRNA from 1 species